CCUACGGGUGGCUGCAGUGGGGAAUAUUGGACAAUGGGCGAAAGCCUGAUCCAGCCAUGCCGCGUGUGUGAAGAAGGCCUUCGGGUUGUAAAGCACUUUCAGUGGGGAAGAAAGCCUUGGGGCUAAUACCCUCGAGGAAGGACAUCACCCACAGAAGAAGCACCGGCUAACUCCGUGCCAGCAGCCGCGGUAAUACGGAGGGUGCGAGCGUUAAUCGGAAUUACUGGGCGUAAAGCGCGCGUAGCGGUCUGAUAAGCCGGUUGUGAAAGCCCCGGGCUCAACCUGGGAACGGCAUCCGGAACUGUCAGGCUAGAGUGCAGGAGAGGAAGGUAGAAUUCCCGGUGUAGCGGUGAAAUGCGUAGAGAUCGGGAGGAAUACCAGUGGCGAAGGCGGCCUUCUGGACUGACACUGACGCUGAGGUGCGAAAGCGUGGGUAGCAAACAGGAUUAGAUACCCCUGUAGUC
rnacentral:rRNA from 1 species